UUUUCUCCGCGAUACCCGUAUCUGGUUAUAAGAGCUGAGGGAACAGUCAGGAGAAGGGGACCGGCGGCAAACGUGGUGAGCAUGCCCCGGAGACUUUAAACGGUCAAAAGGGAAGCCUAAACGUUUAUCAAGGUACCCACCUAAUAAAGAGCCUCAGAUGCUCGUAAUGGCCAUAGGUAUCGCGGGGAGCAU
rnacentral:other from 1 species